UAGGGAGGGAGUGACUAGUGACAGAGGGAGGGAGCGGGUGACACAGUGACAGAGUUAGGGAGGGAGUAACUAGUGACAGAGAGAGGGAUGGGGUGACUAGUGACAGUCACCCCCCCCUCACUCUGUCACCAGUCAUCCCCUCACUCUGUCACUAGUCACCCCUUCCCUCCCUCACUCUGCCACUAGUCACCCAUUCCCUCACUCUGUCACUAGUCUCCCAUUCCCUCACUCUGUCACUAGUCUCCCAUUCCCUCCCUCUGUCACUAGUCUCCCCCUCUCCUUCC